ACAUCCAACUUCCUCAUUAAUUCCCUUCUUUUCGAAACAACCAAGCUCAUCAUUAAGUCCUCCUCUGAUUGAUUGCUUUCUUCUCCUCUUAUGUAAAUUCCAAUUUUUUCAAACCCAAAUUAAUUAUUCCCUUGAACACUUUUCAUAUCCUCCAUGCUCAACUUUCAUAUAAUUGAUGGCACCGCCCCUUCCAUUAUUCCUUUGAACACUUUCAAAUUCUAAAUGCUCCACUUUCCUGUAAUCAAUUGCACCGCCCCUUCCAAUUUCCCAAUUUCCUUCCCACGUCCCAUUAAUUCAUAUAUUUCAUAUUGGAAUUUUGAAUUUUAUCUUUCUCUAUUUGUGCCCAAUGAUUAUUGUUCAUUCCCACUAUUUUUUCCUUCUGAUCAACCACAUUCAUUUGUUGAUUCAACUUCUGUUUUUAUAAUUCCUGUUGAAAUUCAAAUGUUUCAACCCUGAAACCCUUCUAUAUAAAGUCCUUCCUCAACAAACUCCUUGAUUCACUCACUAUGUGCUUUUCAGAUUUCAAAUUUGAAACAACAUUUCAAAAUUUCCAAUGAAUCUCUUCACCUACCUCGGAAGCAAAUUCUCUCACUCUCUUUAAUGUCCCCUUUUCAAGUCUUUUUCUUCCUCUUUAUCUCCAUAUUAGAACCCUCCCCAUGUAUCUAGAAUCAGAACCCUUCUCCCCAAUCCACACAAUCAACCGCUUCAAACCCUCCUCUCCUUAAACGCGAAUCUGUUUCUCGCAGCUUCAUGGACACCAUAGAUCCGUUGUCUGAUUAAUGAAAUUGUAGACUUUCCCGUUACUCUGCUGCUUCACUGGCAAGGACGAUUUUCAGAGCAACUACAGAUUUGGCAGAUCAAUACAUUUGUAGUUGUAGGAUUACUGGACAUGUGGCCGACUGGAGGUUCUUCUCUUAUUGAAAUAGAAGCAGAUUCAGGUGAUGUGGAGAAGUGCCAAAGGGAAGGAAAAUAAGAAGUUUUACUGAACAAAAUUAACUUUUGUUAAAUAUUAUGAUAUCUCAGUUCUCAGCAAAUGUCUUCAGAGGAACAUGCUUUUGCGUCUUAUGGCAUUCCUUAUCUUUUUAAGGACUGUAUAGUUUUCUUACCAAGAUUGGUUUUCAAGUUUAGAAAUAAAAAAUCAUCAGUUGGAUUUCCAAGCAUGUAAAAAAAGAGGUUCAUUUUCCAUUUCCAGUCUUUUCCAAGCAUGUAAAUAAACGAUAUUGUUUUUGAAAUGAGAUUCUUGAUUUGGAUGUCUAUUGUACUGUAUCUUGCAUCGUUGAAGUUGUUGGUGGUGUUUAAUAUCUAUGAUUUUAGUUAUGGUUAUGGAUGUCUUUGAUAUUUAUGGGUUUUGGUUCAAAUGAGGUGUUAGCUAAUUGGGUAAGGUGUGGAAAUUGAUGGGAUUUCUUCCCUGGAGUUUUUCAAGAUAAUCUAUUGGAUCUGCCCCCCUUAUUGUCCAAUAAACGAUGUUCAUUCCCACUAACAGACCCUACUGCCCAAUUAUUAAAAACCCCAAAUUAUAUUUACAUUUUCUUAAACCCUGAAGAAGUCCAAAUGUUGCACUGGCUGGAUAAUUCUAUAUAAGACCCUUAUUAGUUCUCAUCUGCUCAUCAGUCCUCUUGCCACCCCGUCUUCCUUUUUCUAAUCUCUGUUGUUUGAAAAUUUUUUGCAAUGGCUUUCAAAGUGGAUGAUGACUCAACAAUUGACACAUCCUACCCUUCCAAUGGAACCGUCACGGUGGAAUUAUAUGCAGGAGUGAUUUCUUAUAGAUUAAAAUAGCAGGGAUGUUCAUCUCAAAAUCCGAAAAUGAGCAGACUCAAGAAAAGGAAGUUGAAGUUGAUGGAAAUAUGAAAGUUGUUGUCCCAGUCAAUGGCAACUCUCAGGACUCCCUUCAAGCCGAGGAUCAUGAUUCUCCUCCUUCUAAAUGUCCCAUCCCUAUUGACGCUGAAGCCAUUGCAACUGAUUUAGCAAGCAAGAAGCCAUUAAAGAUUGUCAAGGAGAAAAUGUAUUGUUAUUGAUAUUGCUUUUAUUUUUUGAUGUAUUUUGUUGGUUCUUUGAGCCGUGGUUACCCUUUUAAGAUCCUUGAUUUAGUUUUUCUUCUUUUCUUUGUUUUCUAUUUCAAGUUGCUCUAUGAGCUGUGUACCUUGAUGUAAUGAAUGUUUCAACUGAUAUUAUGUUCAUCCUUUUGUUUGAUGCAAUGGUUAUAGUUGUCAAUCAGUAUU